UGCAAGUCGAACGAACUCUGGUAUUGAUUGGUGCUUGCAUCAUGAUUUACAUUUGAGUGAGUGGCGAACUGGUGAGUAACACGUGGGAAACCUGCCCAGAAGCGGGGGAUAACACCUGGAAACAGAUGCUAAUACCGCAUAACAACUUGGACCGCAUGGUCCGAGCUUGAAAGAUGGCUUCGGCUAUCACUUUUGGAUGGUCCCGCGGCGUAUUAGCUAGAUGGUGGGGUAACGGCUCACCAUGGCAAUGAUACGUAGCCGACCUGAGAGGGUAAUCGGCCACAUUGGGACUGAGACACGGCCCAAACUCCUACGGGAGGCAGCAGUAGGGAAUCUUCCACAAUGGACGAAAGUCUGAUGGAGCAACGCCGCGUGAGUGAAGAAGGGUUUCGGCUCGUAAAACUCUGUUGUUAAAGAAGAACAUAUCUGAGAGUAACUGUUCAGGUAUUGACGGUAUUUAACCAGAAAGCCACGGCUAACUACGUGCCAGCAGCCGCGGUAAUACGUAGGUGGCAAGCGUUGUCCGGAUUUAUUGGGCGUAAAGCGAGCGCAGGCGGUUUUUUAAGUCUGAUGUGAAAGCCUUCGGCUCAACCGAAGAAGUGCAUCGGAAACUGGGAAACUUGAGUGCAGAAGAGGACAGUGGAACUCCAUGUGUAGCGGUGAAAUGCGUAGAUAUAUGGAAGAACACCAGUGGCGAAGGCGGCUGUCUGGUCUGUAACUGACGCUGAGGCUCGAAAGUAUGGGUAGCAAACAGGAUUAGAUACCCUGGUAGUCCAUACCGUAAACGAUGAAUGCUAAGUGUUGGAGGGUUUCCGCCCUUCAGUGCUGCAGCUAACGCAUUAAGCAUUCCGCCUGGGGAGUACGGCCGCAAGGCUGAAACUCAAAGGAAUUGACGGGGGCCCGCACAAGCGGUGGAGCAUGUGGUUUAAUUCGAAGCUACGCGAAGAACCUUACCAGGUCUUGACAUACUAUGCAAAUCUAAGAGAUUAGACGUUCCCUUCGGGGACAUGGAUACAGGUGGUGCAUGGUUGUCGUCAGCUCGUGUCGUGAGAUGUUGGGUUAAGUCCCGCAACGAGCGCAACCCUUAUUAUCAGUUGCCAGCAUUAAGUUGGGCACUCUGGUGAGACUGCCGGUGACAAACCGGAGGAAGGUGGGGAUGACGUCAAAUCAUCAUGCCCCUUAUGACCUGGGCUACACACGUGCUACAAUGGAUGGUACAACGAGUUGCGAACUCGCGAGAGUAAGCUAAUCUCUUAAAGCCAUUCUCAGUUCGGAUUGUAGGCUGCAACUCGCCUACAUGAAGUCGGAAUCGCUAGUAAUCGCGGAUCAGCAUGCCGCGGUGAAUACGUUCCCGGGCCUUGUACACACCGCCCGUCACACCAUGAGAGUUUGUAACACCCAAAGUCGGUGGGGUAAC
rnacentral:rRNA from 1 species